GCUGGGCGUGGUGGUGCAUGCCUGUAAUCCCAGCUACUCAGGAGGCUGAGGCAGGAGAAUUGCUUGAACCAGGGAGGCGGUUAUUGCAGUGAGCCAAGCCAAGAUUGCGCCACUGCACUCCAGCCUGGUGACAGAGCAAGACUCUGUCUCAG
rfam:Chlorocebus sabaeus isolate 1994-021 chromosome 22, whole genome shotgun sequence.